rnacentral:rRNA from 1 species
GACGAACGCUGGCGGCGUGCCUAAUACAUGCAAGUCGAACGCAGUGGGGACGGUUUAGUAACACGUGGGUAACCUCCCAUCAGAGGGGAAAACACUUGGAAACCGGUGCUAUACCGAGAUUGAUGGCUCGACCCUCGGUGGAUUAGCUAGUUGGUGAGGUAACGGCUCACCAAGGCCACGAUGCAUAGCCGACCGGAGAGGGUGAUCGGCCACACUGGGACGGAGACACGGCCCAGACUCCUACGGGAGGCAGCAGUGGGGAAUAUUCGGCAAUGGACGAAAGUCUGACCGAGCAACGCCGCGUGAGUGAAGAAGGUUUUCGGAUCGUAAAACUCUGUCGUUAGAGAAGCGGUAUCUAACGAGAAAGCCACGGCUAACUCCGUGCCAGCAGCCGCGGUAAUAC